GAGUUUGAUCGUGGCUCAGAACUAACAUUGGCGGCAGGCCUAACACAUGCAAGUCGAGCGAGGCUUCGAGCCGAGCGGCGAACGGGUGCGUAAUACUUGGAAAUCUGCCUCGGAGUGGGGGAUAUCCACCAGAAAUGGUGGUUAAUACCGCAUAAUCCAUAUUGGGAAAGCGCAUUGGCGCUCCGAGAUGAGUCCAAGCCUGAUUAGCUAGUUGGUGGGGUAAAAGCCUACCAAGGCGACGAUCAGUAGCUGGUCUUAGAGGAUGAUCAGCCACACUGGAACUGAGACACGGUCCAGACUCCUACGGGAGGCAGCAGUGGGGAAUAUUGGACAAUGGGCGCAAGCCUGAUCCAGCAAUGCCGCGUGUGUGAAGAAGGCCUUCGGUUG
rnacentral:rRNA from 1 species